rnacentral:rRNA from 1 species
CUACGGGCUGCAGCAGUGGGGAAUAUUGCACAAUGGAGGAAACUCUGAUGCAGCAACGCCGCGUGGAGGAUGACACUUUUCGGAGCGUAAACUCCUUUUAUAUAGGAAGAAGAUGACGGUACUAUAUGAAUAAGCGCCGGCUAACUCCGUGCCAGCAGCCGCGGUAAUACGGAGGGCGCAAGCGUUACUCGGAAUCACUGGGCGUAACGAGCGUGUAGGCGGAUUAAAAAGUCAGAAGUGAAAUCCUAUAGCUUAACUAUAGAACUGCUUCUGAAACUCUUAAUCUAGAAUAUGGGAGAGGUAGAUGGAAUUUCUGGUGUAGGGGUAAAAUCCGUAGAGAUCAGAAGGAAUACCGAUUGCGAAGGCGAUCUACUAGAACAUUAUUGACGCUGAGACGCGAAAGCGUGGGGAGCAAACAGGAUUAGAUACCCGUGUAGUC